GCUCCAAUGUGGUGGAAUUCCUAAAAUUGGAAUGACACAGAGACAGCAUGGCCCUGCAGAAGGGUAACACAAAUUCAUGAAGCAUCCCAUAUUUUA
rnacentral:snRNA from 1 species